rnacentral:rRNA from 1 species
GAAAGGGACGCUAAUACCGCAUACGUCCUACGGGAGAAAGCAGGGGACCUUCGGGCCUUGCGCUAUCAUAUGAGCCUAGGUCGGAUUAGCUAGUUGGUGAGGUAAUGGCUCACCAAGGCGACGAUCCGUAACUGGUCUGAGAGGAUGAUCAGUCACACUGGAACUGAGACACGGUCCAGACUCCUACGGGAGGCAGCAGUGGGGAAUAUUGGACAAUGGGCGAAAGCCUGAUCCAGCCAUGCCGCGUGUGUGAAGAAGGUCUUCGGAUUGUAAAGCACUUUAAGUUGGGAGGAAGGGCAGUAAGCGAAUACCUUGCUGUUUUGACGUUACCGACAGAAUAAGCACCGGCUAACUCUGUGCCAGCAGCCGCGGUAAUACAGAGGGUGCAAGCGUUAAUCGGAAUUACUGGGCGUAAAGCGCGCCGUAGGUGGUUUGUUAAGUUGAAUGUGAAAUCCCCGGGCUCAACCUGGGAACUGCAUCCAAAACUGGCAAGCUAGAGUAGGGCAGAGGGUGGUGGAAUUUCCUGUGUAGGCGGUGAAAUGCGGUAGAUAUAGGAAGGAACACCCGUGGCGAAGGCGACCCACCUGGGCUCAUACUGACACUGAGGUGCGAAAGCGUGGGGGGCAAACAGGAUUAGAUACCCUGGUAGUCCACGCCGUAAACGAUGUCAACUAGCCGUUGGAAGCCUUGAGCUUUUAGUGGCGCAGCUAACGCAUUAAGUUGACCGCCUGGGGAGUACGGCCGCAAGGUUUAAAACUCAAAUGAAUUGACGGGGGCCCGCACAAGCGGUGGAGCAUGUGGUUUAAUUCCAAGCAACGCUAAAGAACCUUACCAGGCCUUGACAUCCAAUGAAAACCUUUCCAGAGAUGGAUUGGUGCCUUUGGGAACAUUGAGACAGGUGCUGCAUGGCUGUCGUCAGCUCGUGUCGUGAGAUGUUGGGUUAAGUCCCGUAACGAGCGCAACCCUUGUCCUUAGUUACCAGCACGUUAAGGUGGGCACUCUAAGGAGACUGCCGGUGACAAACCGGAGGAAGGUGGGGAUGACGUCAAGUCAUCAUGGCCUUUACGGCCUGGGCUACACACGUGCUACAAUGGUCGGUACAGAGGGUUGCCAAGCCGCGAGGUG